UGAACGCUGGCGGCGUGCCUACUACAUGCACGUCGAGCGAACAGACGAGGAGCUUGCUCCUCUGACGUUAGCGGCGGACGGGUGAGUAACCCGUGGAUAACCUACCUAUAAGACUGGGAUAACUUCGGGAAACCGGAGCUAAUACCGGAUAAUAUAUUAAACCGCAUGGUUCAAUAGUGAAAGCCGGUUUUGCUGUCACUUAUAGAUGGAUCCGCGCCGCAUUAGCUAGUUGGUAAGGUAACGGCUUACCAAGGCGACGAUGCGUAGCCGACCUGAGAGGGUGAUCGGCCACACUGGAACUGAGACACGGUCCAGACUCCUACGGGAGGCAGCAGUAGGGAAUCUUCCGCAAUGGGCGAAAGCUUGACGGAGCAACGCCGCGUGAGUGAUGAAGGUCUUCGGAUCGUAAAACUCUGUUAUUAGGGAAGAACAAAUGUGUAAGUAACUAUGCACGUCUUGACGGUACCUAAUCAGAAAGCCACGGCUAACUACGUG
rnacentral:rRNA from 1 species